AUGAAAACACAAUACACAACAGUGACAGCACUCAACAGAACACAAUCUCAGAUUCUCACAAAACGAAAUUGAAGCCCUAGCAUUCGCGUCGCCAAUCGCCACUCGCAGGCAGCAUCCUCCGGCCAGCCACCACCCGAUUGAACUCCCAAGCAACGCCACCACUCGUCACCCUCCCAAGUCCCAAGCUCUGCAGAAUAUAUUGGAAGAAAGCUACUUCUUCAGUCACCUUCAAGGACCAAACAGCUUGCCUGAAUCACCUGUUGGACAGGCUUCUCAAACUCUCAGCAGUCAGCACUAAUUUGGGCAGUGAAUCUAAUUCCUCUCCAAAUGGUAGAACAGAUGUGGCAGAUAAAAUCAAACAGCCUAUCGUGACUUGCAUAAAUCGAAUAGCAUUCCUUUU